rnacentral:rRNA from 1 species
AUUGAACGCUGGCGGCAUGCCUUACACAUGCAAGUCGAACGGCAGCACGGGUGCUUGCACCUGGUGGCGAGUGGCGAACGGGUGAGUAAUACAUCGGAACAUGUCCUGUAGUGGGGGAUAGCCCGGCGAAAGCCGGAUUAAUACCGCAUACGAUCCACGGAUGAAAGCGGGGGACCUUCGGGCCUCGCGCUAUAGGGUUGGCCGAUGGCUGAUUAGCUAGUUGGUGGGGUAAAGGCCUACCAAGGCGACGAUCAGUAGCUGGUCUGAGAGGACGACCAGCCACACUGGGACUGAGACACGGCCCAGACUCCUACGGGAGGCAGCAGUGGGGAAUUUUGGACAAUGGGCGAAAGCCUGAUCCAGCAAUGCAGCGUGUGUGAAGAAGGCCUUCGGGUUGUAAAGCACUUUUGUCCGGAAAGAAAUCCUUGACUCUAAUACAGUCGGGGGAUGACGGUACCGGAAGAAUAAGCACCGGCUAACUACGUG